UUUCCACAAAGCAUCAAUAGGAAUGAAGCACGAUUAUCAAUUAGUAAAGCUGCUUUAUUAAAGCACUAAUUGCUGUUUACCUACCAUUAAUAAAGUAGUAGUGCAAUAAUUCAGAGAUUUAGCUCAUAGUAUACUCGAUCUAUUUGUGCCAUUAAAAUCUCAGAAUCAUCUUUUGAUCUCCUCGGCCAUCUCUUUGUACUAGACACCACCUUAUUGCAGAUUCCAUUUGUGAUCAUUGAGGUACUUCAAUUAACUUUCUCUAAUCUCUGUUGGUACGUGACAUCUGAAAUAUUCGACUAUGUCUUUGGUUGGAUCUGAAGGUACUUCAAUUAACUUUCUCUAAUCUCAGUUGGUACGUGACAUUGGAAAUAUUCGACUAUAUCUUUGGUUGGAUCUGAAGGUAAUUUUCAUUUUGUUUCAGAAAUUUGAUGUUUUCUUAUAUAAAAAAUAUAUUUUUCAACAAACACCAAGAGUACGGAUUAGUUUUCAGCAAAAAAAAGAUGUACUCGUGUUAAUUGAACAGUACCAAAUUUCUUAUAUUAUUUGCAAAAAAAAAAAAAAAAAGGGUGAAAUUCAAGUUUCUACCGAAGUAGGUCCUUUUAUAUAAUAUUUCCUUUGUCUUAAAUUAUCUCUCAUGGUUACUAAAAUAGUUAUCUCAAAUUAUGUAUUAUGCCAAUUUUUAAGCAAAUUAUUACUCUCUUUUUUACCCCCAUAGGUUUUCGGAAACCGCUUUCAAUUUUAAUUUUAAUUAUAAUCUCUUUUGCUCCUUUUUAAGAUUGGAUCAGAAAAUUGAAGAUUCUAAACAGG